CUUCCACUCCUGGGGGGGGCCAGGUGGCUCCUACAUACGAUACCAACUGGAAGACAAGGAAAACCACCCGCAUAUGGAAUCUGGGGGACAGAUAAAGGUCCGGGCAVCUUUUUCCCGAGGCAUGCAGAUCCCCGAUUACUGACGAUUCCGGCUUCAUGUAUGCGAGUUGCUACCUACAAGCCGAACCUGCUAACGACUUAAUCGGAUUAUCUCCCUCUCGCGAGUUGGCAACCGUUUGUAUCGUCCAUUGUAGCACGUGUGUAGCCCACGUCAUAAGGGGCAUGAUGAUUUGAACCCGACCCCACCUUCCUCCGGUUUGUCACCGGAAGUCUCUUUUUACUGCCCAAAUAAUUGAUGGGACUUAGAUAUGGGUAGCAAUCCCCGUGUUACUUUUCCUACCAUCUCAUAAACGAGCGGACGACAACCAUGCGCCACCUGUCACCGUUGCCCCCGAAGGGGAAACUAUAUCUCUACAGUGGUCAACGGGAUGUCAAGACCUGGUAAGGUUCUUCGCGUUGCUUUUAAUAAAACCAGGUGCGCUACCGCUUGUGCGGCGGGCCCGUCAAAUCCAUUGAGAAUCACUCUGGGCCACCCGGACUCCGCAGGUGGAGUGCUUUAGAGUUAUCUUGCAGAACAAAGAGGGGGGGAAAACCCCCUAACACUUGGGACUCGUCGUUUAACGGCGUGGGGAAAACCCAAGGGGAUCCAAAUCCCUGUUUUUCCUCCCCCCCGCUUUUCCCGCCCUCGCCGUCAAAUUACCGGAGCAGCAAAAAUGGCCUUUCACCCCCCUGGGGGUU
rnacentral:rRNA from 1 species